rnacentral:rRNA from 1 species
GAUGAACGCUAGCGGCAGGCCUAAUACAUGCAAGUCGGACGGGAUCCAUUGAUAGCUUGCUAUCAAUGGUGAGAGUGGCGCACGGGUGCGUAACGCGUGAGCAACCUGCCUCCAUCAGGGGGAUAGCCUCUCGAAAGAGAGAUUAACACCGCAUAAUAUCAACAGUUCGCAUGUUCAGUUGAUUAAAUAUUUAUAGGAUGGAGAUGGGCUCGCGUGACAUUAGCUAGUUGGUAGGGUAACGGCUUACCAAGGCGACGAUGUCUAGGGGCUCUGAGAGGAGAAUCCCCCACACUGGUACUGAGACACGGACCAGACUCCUACGGGAGGCAGCAGUAAGGAAUAUUGGUCAAUGGGCGGAAGCCUGAACCAGCCAUGCCGCGUGCAGGAUGACUGCCCUAUGGGUUGUAAACUGCUUUUGUCCAGGAAUAAACCUAAAUACGAGUAUUUAGCUGAAUGUACUGGAAGAAUAAGGAUCGGCUAACUCCGCG